UGGGGAAUAUUGGACAAUGGGCGCAAGCCUGAUCCAGCCAUGCCGCGUGAGUGAUGAAGGCCCUAGGGUUGUAAAGCUCUUUCACCGGUGAAGAUAAUGACGGUAACCGGAGAAGAAGCCCCGGCUAACUUCGUGCCAGUAGCCGCGGUAAUACGAAGGGGGCUAGCGUUGUUCGGAUUUACUGGGCGUAAAGCGCACGUAGGCGGACUUUUAAGUCAGGGGUGAAAUCCCGGGGGCUAACCCCGGAACUGCCUUUGACACUGGAAGUCUUGAGUAUGGUAGAGGUGAGUGGAAUUCCGAGUGUAGAGGUGAAAUUCGUAGAUAUUCGGAGGAACACCAGUGGGCGAAGGCGGCUCACUGGACCAUUACUGACGCUGAGGUGCGAAAGCGUGGGGAGCAAACAGGUUAGAUACCCUGGUAGUCCACGCCGUAAACGAUGAAUGUUAGCCGUUGGGGAGUUUACUCUUCGGUGGCGCAGCUAACGCAUUAAACUU
rnacentral:rRNA from 1 species